AUGCACGCUGGCGGCGUGCCUAACACAUGCAAGUCGAGCGAAGCACUUACUUUAGAUUUCUUCGGAAUGACGAAGUUUGUGACUGAGCGGCGGACGGGUGAGUAACGCGUGGGCAACCUGCCCUGUACAGGGGGAUAACAGUUAGAAAUGACUGCUAAUACCGCAUAAGCCCACAGCUUCGCAUGAAGCAGUGGGAAAAACUCCGGUGGUACAGGAUGGGCCCGCGUCUGAUUAGCUAGUUGGUAAGGUAACGGCUUACCAAGGCGACGAUCAGUAGCCGACCUGAGAGGGUGACCGGCCACAUUGGGACUGAGACACGGCCCAAACUCCUACGGGAGGCAGCAGUGGGGAAUAUUGCACAAUGGGGGAAACCCUGAUGCAGCGACGCCGCGUGAGCGAUGAAGUAUUUCGGUAUGUAAAGCUCUAUCAGCAGGGAAGAAAGUGACGGUACCUGACUAAGAAGCCCCGGCUAACUACGUG
rnacentral:rRNA from 1 species